rnacentral:rRNA from 1 species
UGGGGAAUCUUGCGCAAUGGGCGAAAGCCUGACGCAGCGACGCCGCGUGAGUGAUGAAGGCCUUCGGGUUGUAAAGCUCUGUGGAGGGAGACGAAUAAGGCGGGUCGAAUAGGCUCGUUGAUGACGGUAUCCUUUUAGCAAGCACCGGCUAACUCUGUGCCAGCAGCCGCGGUAAGACAGAGGGUGCAAACGUUGUUCGGAAUUACUGGGCGUAAAGCGCGUGUAGGCGGCUUGGCAAGUCGGGUGUGAAAGCCCUGGGCUCAACCCAGGAAGUGCACUCGAAACUGCUUCGCUAGAGUACCGGAGAGGAUAGCGGAAUUCUCGGUGUAGAGGUGAAAUUCGUAGAUAUCGAGAGGAACACCGGUGGCGAAGGCGGCUAUCUGGACGGUUACUGACGCUG